rnacentral:lncRNA from 1 species
AAAAUAUGAAUUUCGAGCAAAGGUCAAAAUCUAGAACGUCCAAUUAACCUAUGACCUUGACCUCAAUUUCAAGGUCAUAAACAUAGGAUCCCAAAUCAAAAGACCCUAGGUCUGUAUUAUGUAUGGUUCAUGAGUAAUAUCACUUUACGCAUAAUUCUAAAUAUAAGAGGGGCAAAAACUCCCAUUUAUUGUCUACGCACCCUUGUAACCAAAAUUUAUAAGUAACGACAUGUCGCAACUAACAAUUUAGUAAAAAUAAUUUGUCGAAAUCUUAUUAAGUAAUUGAAAAUAAGUGAAAAUAAAGCAAAAAUCAAAAUUUAAAAUUUGACCUUGACCUUUGACCUUGACCUAAUUUUCAUUUUUUUGGACCAAGGAUCUAAAAUCAAAAGACCCUAGGUCUCUAUCACUUAUGGUUUACCAGUUAGAAAUGCAUAUCACAUAUAUAUAAAGGGGGGAUAACUCUCAUAUGGAGUCUCCGGAUAGCUUCGGUCAAAAUGAAACAGAACAUCCUGAGGAUAUAACGAGCAAUUUGGAAAAAUAAAUUUGUCGGUUUCUUAUACGGUUGCGAAGCCUUAGUGGCCACAAGAAAAACAGUGUUCGGGAGAUAACUCUUACAAGGUAAAGGUUUUUGUUACGCGGUGUCAGUUUCAGAAGCGCAUUAACUGUUCGAUAUAAUAUACCAAAUAUCUAAGCGACAUCUUGUGAAACAAAAAAACAGCGAAGGAAAAAAAAGUUGGCGGAAGAAAAAAAAAAAAAAUAAUAAUAAUAAUAAUUAAAAACCAAUUGUUCAAAGAACAAUUGAAGGUCUUUCAACCAAUAAGGAUCUAUUUAGAUAUGAAAAUAUUAAAAUUCAGUUGAAAAUGUCAGUUCCUAUGGCUUAAUGAUGUAUAACUAUGAAUUUUAAGGAAAAGGUCAAAAUCUAGAACGUCCAAUUAACCUAUGACCUUGACCUCAAUUUCAAGGUCAUAGACUAAACAUCUCAAAUAAAAAGACACUAGUUCCUUAAUAUGUAUGGUUCAUGAGUAAAAUCACUUUACGCAUAAUUCUUAAAUAUAAGAGGGACGAAAACUCCCUUUUAUUGUUUACGCACCCUUGCAACCAAAAUUUAUAAGUUACGACAUGUCGCAACUAACAAUUUAGUAAAAAAAAAAUUGUCGAUAUCUUAUAAGGUUAAUGAAAAAAGGUGAAAAUAAGCCAAAAUCAAAAUUUAGAAUUUGACCUUGACCUUUGACCUUGACCUAAUUUUCAUUUUUUUGGACCAAGGAUCUUAAAUCAAAAGACCCUAGGUCUCUAUCACUUAUAGUUUACCAGUUAGAAAUGCAUAUCACUGAUAUCAUAUAUAAAAGGGGGGAUAACUCUCAUAUGGAGUCUCCGGAUAGCUUCGGUUGAAAUGAAACAGAACAUCCUAAGGAUAUAACGAGCAAAUUUGGAAAAUAAAUUUGUCGGUUUCUUAUACGGUUGCGAAGGAGUAGUGGCCACAAGAAAAACAGUGUUCGGGGAGAUAACUCUUACAAGGUAAAGUUUUUUGUUACGCGGUGUCAGUUUCAGAAGCGUAUUAACUGUUCGAUAUCAUUUACCUUAUAUCUAAGCGACAUCUUGUGAAACAAAAAAACAGCGAAGGAAAAAAAGUUGGCGGAAGAAAAAAAAAAAAAAAAAUAAUAAUAAUAAUCAGAACAAACCCUAUAGGUCUUUCAACUGAAAGGUUGAAAGACCUAAUAAUAAUAAUCAGAACAAAUACAAUAGGUCUUUCAACAGAAAAGGUUGAAAGACCUAAUUAAAAACCAAUUGUUCAGAGAACAAUUGAAGGUCUUUCAACCAAUAAGGAUCUAUUUAGAUAUGAAAAUAUUAAAAUUCAGUUGAAAAUGUCAGUUCCUAUGGCUUAAUGAUGUAUAAAUAUGAAUUUUAAGCAAAGGUCAAAAUCUAGAACGUCCAAUUAACCUAUGACCUUGACCUCAAUUUCAAGGUCAUAGACUAAACAUCUCAAAUAAAAAGACACUAGUUCCUUAAUAUGUAUGGUUCAUGAGUAAAAUCACUUUACGCAUAAUUCUUAAUAUAAGAGGGGCGAAAACUCCCUUUUAUUGUUUACGCACCCUCGCAACCAAAAUUUAUAAGUUACGACAUGUCGCAACUAACAAUUUAGUAAAAAAAAAUUGUCGAUAUCUUAUAAGGUUAAUGAAAAAAAAAAGUGAAAAAAAGCCAAAAUCAAAAUUUAAGAAUUUGACCUUGACCUUUGACCUUGACCUAAUUUUCAUUUUUUUGGACCAAGGAUCUUAAAAUCAAAAGACCCUAGGUCUCUAUCACUUAUGGUUUACCAGUUAGAAAUGCAUAUCACUUAUAUCAUAUAUAAAAGGGGGAUAACUCUCAUAUGGAGUCUCCGGAUAGCUUCGGUCAAAAUGAAACAGAACAUCCUGAGGAUAUAACGAGCAAUUUGGAAAAAUAAAUUUGUCGGUUUCUUAUACGGUUGCGAAGCCUUAGUGGCCACAAGAAAAACAGUGUUCGGGGAGAUAACUCUUACAAGGUAAAGGUUUUUGUUACGCGGUGUCAGUUUCAGAAGCGCAUUAACUGUUCGAUAUCAUAUACCAAAUAUCUAAGCGACAUCUUGUGAAACAAAAAAACAGCGAAGGAAAAAAAAGUUGCGGAAAAAAAAAAAAAAAAAAAAAUAAUAAUAAUAAUAAUUAAAAACCAAUUGUUCAAAGAACAAUUGAAGGUCUUUCAACCAAUAAGGAUCUAUUUAGAUAUGAAAAAUAUUAAGAUUCAGUUGAAAAUGUCAGUUCCUAUGGCUUUAUGAUAUGAAAAUAUGAAUUUGGAGCAAAGGUCAAAAUCUAGAACGUCC